UCUCAUAUAUAUUUGUUUUCCAACUAGUGUC
rnacentral:piRNA from 1 species